UACAGAGGUCUCAAGCGUUGUUCGGAUUCAUUGGGCGUAAAGGGUGUGUAGGUGGCGCGCUAAGUCGGGUGUGAAAUUUCGGAGCUUAACUCCGAAACUGCAUUCGAUACUGGCGUGCUUGAGGACUGGAGAGGAGACUGGAAUUCAUGGUGUAGCAGUGAAAUGCGUAGAGAUCAUGAGGAAGACCAGUGGCGAAGGCGGGUCUCUGGGCCGGUACUGACGCUGAGGAGCGAAAGCGUGGGGAGCAAACAGG
rnacentral:rRNA from 1 species